GACGGAGGAGGCAAGCGGUAUCCGGAAUUAUUGGGCGUAAAGCGUCCGCAGGUGGCGAGUCAAGUCUGCUGUCAAAGGUCGGGGCUUAACACCGGGAAGGCAGUGGAAACUGAAUAGCUAGAGUGCGGUAGGGGCAGAGGGAAUUCCCGGUGUAGCGGUGAAAUGCGUAGAGAUCGGGAAGAACACCAGUGGCGAAAGCGCUCUGCUGGGCCUGCACUGACACUGAGGGACGAAAGCUAGGGGAGCGAAAGGG
rnacentral:rRNA from 1 species